rnacentral:rRNA from 1 species
UGGGGAAUAUUGCGCAAUGGGGGAAACCCUGACGCAGCGACGUCGUGUGAGGGAAGAAGGCCUUCGGGUCGUAAACCUCUGUCAGAAGGGAAGAAACGUCAGGAGUCGAAUAGGCUCUUGGCCUGACGGUACCUUCAGAGGAAGCGCCGGCUAACUCCGUGCCAGCAGCCGCGGUAAUACGGAGGGCGCAAGCGUUAAUCGGAAUUACUGGGCGUAAAGCGUGCGUAGGCUGUUUGAUAAGUCAGGCGUGAAAUCCCUCGGCUCAACCGGGGAACUGCGCUUGAUACUGUCGAACUCGAGUCCUGGAGAGGGUGGCGGAAUUCCUGGUGUAGGAGUGAAAUCCGUAGAUAUCAGGAGGAACACCGGUGGCGAAGGCGGCCACCUGGACAGGUACUGACGCUGAGGCACGAAAGCGUGGGGAGCAAACA